ncrna:unclassified sequences RAGATH-18 RNA
CCUAUGGACUGUUAUAACAAAUCGUAGUAGCUUCGGCAAGGCGAGACAGGGUGAAGUAGGAA